rnacentral:rRNA from 1 species
AUACGUAGGGAGCGAGCGUUGUCCGGAUUUACUGGGUGUAAAGGGUGCGUAGGCGGAUAAUCAAGUCAGAUGUGAAAGUCCAUGGCUCAACUGUGGGAGUGCAUUUGAGACUGAAGAUCUAGAGUGCAGGAGAGGGAAGCGGAAUUCCUAGUGUAGCGGUGAAAUGCGUAGAUAUUAGGAAGAACACCAGUGGCGAAGGCGGCUUUCUGGACUGUAACUGACGCUGAAGCACGAAAGCGUGGGGAGCAAACAGGAUUAGAUACCCUGGUAGUCCACGCUGUAAACGAUGAGUAUUAGGUGUAGGGGACGAUAGUCUUCUGUGCCGGAGCAAACGCAAUAAAUACUCCGCCUGGGGAGUACGGUCACAAGACUAAA